rnacentral:sRNA from 1 species
CAGUCUUCAGGCCUCACCACGUGCUACUGGAGUAACACCCGUGUCAGUUAUGGAGCCUCACACAGCAGAUGUGUCUAGUAAAUACUGUGAAUAGUGUAUACUGUGUUUUGCUUUUGUUUUCUUUAGUAAUGAGGUCUCGUUAUGUUGCCCAGGCUGGUCUCAAACUCCUGAGCUCAAGCGAUCUUCCUUCCUCGGCCUCCCAGGGAGCUGGGAUUACAAGUGUGUGAUACUACGCCCAGCUAUACUGCAUUAGUGAACCAACUUCCUGGCUGUUUCCCCUACUCUGAACCUGGUGGUCUGUAACCCCUGACCACAGCUGUUCCUACAGUGGGAAGGGCCUGCUCAUCAGGGGCUGUGGCUCCUGGUCCCGCUGCACCGGGGAGGUGGGGUCUUACCGGGAUCAAUAGGCAGGCAGUCACUUUCUCUUCAUAGGAAUCUUGUCGAUUGGCCUGGCUGCUGCCUACUACAGCGGAGGUAAAGCACCCCCCGCCCCACCCCCCCAUGACUGUCUCAGCUGUUUGGAAAACAGAGAAAAGAAGGAAAAACUGUCAUUUGUGACUGUCCAUGGGGCGGCCUUUAGGAUUGGCACCUCUGCCCCUUGAUUGCUGGCGGGCACCGCGCCCUCCACGCACUGCUGUUCUUCCGCACGCCCAUCCUGCCCAGCACUCAGCCCACAUUUCACUUCUUAAGUCUUCUGUGUUUUUGGGUCAUCAAAUAUUCCCGGAGAGAUGCUCUUGAGGAUCUGGCUAAGAUCCAUCUGUGGGAUGAGGUGUACUUCCCACCCUGCCACCAUCACUGGGCCUGCCCAGACGGGCAGAGGCCCUGUGCGCCCCACCUGCCUCUCUCACGUGGACUCUGGGGGUCAGAGCUGGGUGGGGUGUGUCGCGUGUGGGUCCUGAGUGGCCAGGGCAGGGUCAGCAGCACAGGAAGCUGCCCAGGGGGUCCUUGCAAGCGUGGGCUCUGGCCAGCGUCUGGGGGAGGCUGUGCUAGGCGGGGCCUCCCGUGGGCAUGUCCCUGGAGCUCACAGGCUGGCGCCCUAUGCCCAUCUCCAGAUAGCCUGGGCUGGAAGCUCUUCUACGUCACAGGCUGCCUGUUUGUGGCUGUGCAGAACUUGGAGGACUGGGAGGAAGCCAUCUUCGACAAGAGCACAGGGAAGGUUGUUUUGAAGACGUUCAGCCUCUACAAGAAGCUGCUGACUCUUUUCAGAGCUGGCCACGACCAGGUGGUGGUCCUGCUCCAUGAUGUCCGUGAUGUGAGCGUGGAGGAGGAGAAGGUCCGGUACUUCGGGAAAGGCUACAUGGUGGUGCUCCGGCUUGCGACGGGCUUCUCCCACCCCCUCACGCAGAGUGCAGUCAUGGGCCACCGCAGUGAUGUGGAAGCCAUCGCCAAGCUCAUCACCAGCUUCCUGGAGCUGCACUGCCUUGAGAGCCCCACAGAGCUGUCUCAGAGCAGCGACAGUGAGGCCGGUGACCCUGCAAGCCAGAGCUGACAGCCCCACUGUGCCUGAGCCCGUGCACCGCCCACAGGACCCGUGGCACAUUCCCGGUGUGCCUGAGCCCGUGCACCGCCCGCAGGACCCGUGGCACAUUCCCGGUGUGCCUGAGCCCGUGCACCGCCCGCAGGACCCGUGGCACAUUCCCGGUGUGCCUGAGCCCGUGCACCGCCCGCAGGAUCCGUGGCACAUUCCCGGUGUGCCUGAGCCCGUGCACCGCCCACAGGACCCGUGGCCUUGGCUUCAGUCGGUGCCUCCAGCCGAGUUGGCCUAUUGCCUGCUCAUGCUGCUGCUUGCACACUGCAUGAAACAGCAGGCCAGACCAGGACACCCAGACCUUCUCCAUCGUGAGGCCUGGGCCUGCCUUUCUGCAGCCGGAGGUCUCGCCAGCCCUGGACUCCUGCUGUGGGCCACAGCAAGACCUCGGGUGAGUGGAGAGGCGGGGCCAGGCCGGGCCCUUGUGGGUGCUGAUGCUGCAUGUUGUCCCCAACACAGCGUCCUCUCCCUGGUGGACAUCCCCAGCGGUCAGGUGCUUCCCCAAGGGCAGUGAGGGGUGAACAUCCAGGGCCUACCUGGCUGUGCACGCUGCAGCCACACUGUGGAAGCUGCCCCUCCCCGAGGACCCGCCUCCCUUGCUGAUGCCAGGAUCUCGGCGCAUAGACCACUCUGCCCCAGCGGUCGUCACAGAAAGGUCUCUCUGUUCCUCACACUCAGCCUCAGCAUAAGCUGUGAGGCCAGAAAAAAGGUCAGCUCUUCUAGUAUCGUGCAGUGCUUAAAAACUGGGAGCUCCGGCCGGGCGCAGUGGUUCAUGCCAGUAAUCCCAGCACUUUCGGAGGCCGAGGUGGGAGGAUUGCUUGAGGCCAGGAGUUCAAGACCAGCCUGGGCAACACAGCAAGAUCCUGUCUUUGUAAAAAAAACUAACCAAACAGGAAAAACUGGGAGAUUUUCUGCAGAAAUUGAGUUCCAGCCUCUCUCGAACCUGGGAAGACCUGGCAGGAGGGGCUCUCGGCUACAGACUUCUCCCCACCCCGUAGGAGCUGAACGCCAACCAUCCUGACCCGCCAGUGCUCUUGGUCUCCUGAGUGCACCCAGGUCCUCCCAGGUGCGGUGUGCACCGAGCGCGCCUGGCCUGAUGCCCUGGCCUGUGAGCUGGGGACUCCUGGGCCCUGUGAGCCCCUAGGUGGCAGGCCCAGGAAUGGCUGGGUAGGACAGGGAACACCUUUGCCCCACGUCUGGCUGUGACCUCGGUGAAAGCCGACAGGAGAGAGAUGGGACCCUCCUACUCAGCAGUGGCUGCCAGUCCCUCGUUGCAGGACAUGGUCAUCGUAACCAUAAAUAACCCUUCGCAUGUC